rnacentral:lncRNA from 1 species
AUGCCUGCCUUGGGGGGCUCCGGUGCAGGGCCCCCUGUCCUUCUGAGUCACCCCCUGGCUCCCUGUCAGGCUGCUGAUUUGAUUCGCUUCCUGAGGAAUGUGGCAGGAGGUGAGCCAGUGUGGCAAGGCUUCUGUCCUCCGCAUCACCAGGAGAACUCAAUUCAUCUGUGCUUGCUUCCACACCUAAGGCAAAUUCUUCAAUUCUUAAAAACAAACAAACAAACAAACAAACAAAACCUGGAGUUGGGGGAAAAAAUAAGAAUUUGCACAAAUAAAAGAGAAAAAUAGAAAAAAUAUUUCCAUAAGAAAAUAUAUUGAAUCAUGUCCUCUGAGAUGAUGGUUUCAUUUAAAUUGAAGACUCAGGUGAGUGAAAAUACUCCUCUAGGUCCCCUUGUCUUCCUUGUUUUUCUCAAUAAAGAAAAGAAACUCUAGACUCCAAAUUAUCAGAGAAAUUACCAGAGAAUUGGAGGAGAAAAUAAAAGCCAGGUUCUGUGACUGAUUCUGUCCCUGAUUUAUUGUGUUUUUCAAUAGUGUUUCAGCUUUCUCAUCUCUACGGUGAGUAUGAGAUUGCCUGAAGAUCUGUGUGGUUCCUUCAUGGAAAGCUUUUAAGACAGAUAAAAUUAGCUGUAAAUCAUCUUGAAUUUCUAAGAGAAAGAUCCCAGACUCUGUGGAUCAGGGUCUGUCUUUUUCCACCUUGCUUUGCCCAUGUUCCCUCACAUGGUGGGAGGAAUAAUAAAGACCAAAAAAAAAAAAAAAAAAAAAAAAAAAAGGGUAACUCUAGUUCCUUUUCCCCUCCUUGUAAUCAGUGUUCUGUGCUAUUAACAUUUCACUUCUUAAUUUAUAAAAGGUCAUAAUACUGUGUUUGUUCUAUGUGGUUUUCUUUCAGUAAUUUGUCCUAUUUUGCUAAGAAAGAAGAGCAAAGAACUAACAUAAGGUUAUGGGCAUUUUUAUUUAUUUUUUCACUUGCCUCCUUAUUCUCAUUUCUUUAUUAUUAGGUCCUGACCUUUUGGCUAAGUUUAUUUUCAGUUUCUAUUUUUUUUUUCCCUCAGUAUUGUGGGAAGGGCUCAACUAUCACCCAGAUGGCAGAAAACUACCAGAAAAUCCAAACUGGGGAAAUCCUAUGUUUGAAAAAAAAUUUUUUUUUUUUUUUUUUUUAAGGAAAACCUUACCAGAAUAAACAUGCUCAGGGAUAGUCUUGUUGCUAGUAAGGAGAACCACAGAAAAAUCUGAGAUGGGGCUGGGAAAAAUAAGAAAAUAUAACCAUAAUUAACUAUAAGAAUAUCAGCUGAUGUUACAGAUGUGCCAAAGCCCAGCUUCUGGAGGAAAUACAUAUUAGCAAUCUAUACUAAGGCCUUUAAUUUUGUUUUCAAAAUUUCGCCUGACAAUGUUCAGAUAUCCACAUCUCCCGACACAUUUCAUGCCAAAACUGGUUUAGGAAUUCUGCAGAUCAAAGGAGGAAGGGCUGUUGCAGCUGAGAAGAGACACUUCUAAGACAUCUUGCAAGGUUAAGGUCAGAACUGCAUGCUCUUUUGCAUGCUGUCUGAGUAAUGACAAGAAGAUUCAAAUAGACUCUGCAAACAAUGGGGCCUGGGGAAUUGCAUACAUCUUGAGAAGUAAUUUGACUGGCAUAUAUUUAAGACAAUUCAUUUGUAUUUGAGAAAACCCAAGCAAUUUAUAUUUCCUGGAUGUCAGCUUGAACGGGAGGUUGGAAGAAUGGUGAUGCUUCAUUCUCAUUUGAGAUAAAAAAAUCAUGGAUAAUCAUGUAUAUACACAUUAAU